rnacentral:lncRNA from 1 species
GGAGCCGCGGCCCGCGCACCGCCCGCCGCGCGCCGCUCUCCUCCGGGGCCCGCCCCGCGCUGCGCCCCGCGCUUCCGCUCGCAGCGGCUCCGGCCCCGAGACCUGGUCCCAUCCCCGCGGCGGGGAUGCUGAGCUGCGCGCGGGCAGAGGCGCCCGAGACCACGUGACUCUCCAUCUAACCCAACCGAAAAGCGAAAGGAGCCUUCCCACGGGAAGGAUCAAGCCCUUGAAGCUGCAGUGUAAUGUUUUACCGGUGUCGUCGUCAUUGGAGGACUUUCACGCCUGGCUGGUGGUCCUGAUGGUCCGGCUGAGGAUAAGUGGGGUGCUUUUGUUCUGUGCUCUAGAGAAUAAAUUUUUCAUUCACGAUAGACUACUGGUUACCAGCACUGCCGGCCUGUUCCCUCUGAAUUAUUACGCAAAAUGAUUAAAAUGUACUUGGUUAAAGUGCUUGUUGCUCUAAUAUACUAAACCCAGAU